rnacentral:lncRNA from 1 species
GUCCACAUACCUUUGGUCAUGUAGUGUAUUUUCUUGCAUUACAGAGAGCUUCUUACUUCAUCCGGGAGGAGAAAGACACAGACCUGUAGACCAGGAGCCCAACAGACCCAUUGCUUCAUACCGAUCUCUCCUUUGUCAAAACAAACAGAAGACCUGCAUAUUUCGAUUUCCAAUGUUUACGGAGGAAAGGACUUACACAUCCAAGAGGAAGUCCUUCCAUCCUCUGAGGAGUCUAUUGACAACAAGACUCCCGUAACACUGAAAAACAAACUCCAUAAACCUAACAACCAACUUCCGACAAGAGCCGCAAAGCGAAGCAAAGCCCAAAACAAACUCAAAACACUCAACAGUAAACAGAAGAGAGGAGUGAAGAGGUGUCCAGUGGAUGGCUGCCAGGUCACCGUCAUUCACUUUCCUCGUCACCUGCGGCAGGUCCAUGAGUGGGGCAGAGAGGAGGCCCAGUCUGAAGUCGGCCUGAGAG